AAACUUUAGAUACACAAAUAAGGCGUCUUGCUUCCCUCAUCGUCGUCUCGGAGCCUUGGUUUCCCGCGAAACCCGAUUCUUACUAGCAGUCCCGGACGAAUUAUCGCCCAUCCAUGGAAUCACUUCGAGCUUCCAAAGAGGCCGAUUGAAAUCCUCGUUUCAGAGUAGCCAUCGCGGGACAUGAACAACGAUCGAUGCGUAAUAUGAAGAAAAAAGAGAAGAAGAGUGCAUACGAAUACUGCCUCGUCUGCAAACUAAACCACGAUCAAGGGCAGCGCCAUAAGUAUUUUCCCAAUCACAAAAAAUCUCUUUCUGCUUUUCUAUCUCGGUUCGAGAUCAAGCUGUCCGACGUUCGCUUCUUUCUCAAUACCCCUUUUCGCCUCACGCCCGAGUAUGCUUCUCACAAUCGGUUCUGGUGCAUCUUUUGCAAUGUUGAAGUCGAUGAGAAUGAUAGUUCGUUCGCAUGUAGCAACGCAAUUAAACACCUAGCCAGUGCGGAUCAUCUGAAGAAUUUGAAGCAUUUCUUAUGGAAGUAUGGUGGUGAUAUGGAACGUUUGAAUAAUUAUAGAAUUUUAGAAGCUGAUGAAGCUAAGUGGGAGAAGAAGUGCAAAGUACAAAGCGUAGCUGCUUCAUCCAGUCUUGGACCUGCAAAUGAUAUCCACAAUCAAGUCCAAUAUGGAAAAUUUGAUAAUUUUGGGAAUAAUAAUAUCCACUCUGUUGAAUCUAGUUCGUCAAUUAGUGUUUUGCCUUUACAAAGUUAUACAAAUGAGUAUCAGGUAUCCAAUUCAUCCUAUUCAGGAUCCUCUGAUGUUUCGAAUUUGGUCUCAUUGCCACACAAUACCACUUCUUCUUUGCAUGCUGGUUCAUGUUCUGGUGCACAUGUAUGGAGCCCAAAGAAUUUACCAUUGAACGAGGACAACAAGCAUUACCAUCUGAAUAGUGGUAGAACGUGUACUGCUAAUGGUCAUUUUAGUGGUCAGGGGAUGUCCGGGAUGCAUCAGAGUGAAAGAACUUUGAAUGAAGAAAGCCAUCCUGAGGGUUUUCAGACCCUCACUCGGAUUUCUAAUAUUGUUUCUGGAGAUUCCGGAGGAAAUGUUCAGUCUGGGAUGUUGCCUCCUUGGCUUGAAAACCAUGAAGAUAGUGGGUUUAAGGUUCAAAUAAGACCAGUGGUUGGGGGUGGCGUUUCUUCCUUGAAUGAAUCUGCAAAGUCCAAGAAACUGAACCCCAAACGGGUAGGAGCUGCAUGGGCUGAAAAAAGAAAGUUGGAGAUGGAAAUGGAGAAGAGAGGAGAAAUUGUCCAAAGCUAUCGUGACGAGAAUUGGCUUCCUAAUUUUGGUAGGGUAUGGCAAUCUGGUAGCCGUAAAGAAUCUAGAAAAGAAUUUGAGAAGGAGAAAUCAAAAUUCCUGAUGGUUGAAAAUCCACCUGAACCAAAUGUCGAUAUUCAGCCAUACAUUAGCAAACGGAUGUGGCCAAGCAGCUGUUCCAUCUUUUUUCCCGUAGCUGCCAAGAAAGGUUCACAAAGGACUGAUUGCAUGUAUGUUUCUCUGUACCUUCAUCUCAGAACAAAAGUGAGCUCAUUAUUGGAUCAAAAUGCUUUUGUCAGGGCAGAAUCUGGUAGAAUUUUUCUCAUUUCUAAUCCUGAAAAUCCAGAGUUUCCCUUUAGAGGAAAUCAAGUUUUCAUCACAAAGGAACUCCCAAGAAUACCACUUUUCGAUCAUACGAUCUAUAUCGUGUACAACUACAUCAGUGGUGUUCCCUUCUCUUGCUAUGAUAGCAGCACUGUAAAUUGUUGCCAUUCUUCCUGGUGCAAGAGGACUAUCUCCUCUCGGUCCAUCCACGACCACCACAUCCCAUUUUACUUCAUAAACUUCUCUUGGAAGAUCUGUCAACGCAAGUUGGCAUCUGGAUGAAUUCCUGAGGCCCGAGUUUGGUGCACAUGAUUUGUUUCCUCUGGCAUGUUUUAACAACUUGUAAGCUUUUUCUGCAUGAAGCUUGUAAUCAACUUUGUACAUCCGGGUGUGAUUUGAAUUGACUUUGAAUAUGCUCAGUUUGUAGGGAUCGUCCUCCAGAAAAACAUUCUUUCCACCAGGAUUGACUGCUGAGAGGUUAAGGUACUGUGAUUCUAUCCCAAAGAAAAGGAGAUUGCAGGGUACUUUUUUGGCAAUCAGAUUUGAAAGAAGCUUGAAUUCUUUCUCUGAAAUGGUAGCUUCAUUUGCAGAGGUUCUACUGUGAUUUCUUGAGAACCCUGAUAUUGGGCGUUGAAGCUUUGGAGGCAAUGCAAUUGCUAGAAGUGGAGAAGUAUAAGAUGUGGUAAGUGCAAUCCUAACAAGUCUGAAAAUGCAAAGACUAGACAGAAUCAACACGAGAACAGUGAAGGAAAUCUCAAAAUGAAAAAUCCAAAGAAAGACAAUAUCUACUGGCGGUGAAUUGGUGGACGAAUGAAAAGUGGCUGCUGUAGAGGCUUGAAAGGAUUGAAAGGAAAGGACAUAAAUCUGAAGGAGGUUGUUCAUUUCAAUCAUUGAUUUCAGAUGGAGACUUUGAGACAUCUGUCAUCUUUUUUGGUCCGUUUGGUGGGUAUGAGUAGAGUUGAAGGUGGCUUUCAAAUGGUUGCUGGGUCAUUUCCAUCCAUUUUGACCUUCUCGAACUUCGACGUUCUCCUCUGUGCUCUCCUCCUUUUUUAAGGUGGAAAUACCCCUUUCGUUCAUUCUUCAAAAUGACUACCAAAAGAAUGAUGGCUUCAGAUCAGACCCGUGGAAGACUGGAAACUGUUCUUCAUUUUGCUGAUAAUCAGCCAAUGAAUGGUUCAUCGGUCACUACUCCCCUACUGUUACCCAUUUGAAAAAGAUCAACUGAACCACGAUGUUUUCAAAUGAUCAACUGAACCACGAUGUUUUCAAAUGAUCAACUCUCACGUUUAGGUUUGUUCUUAUGGACUACUUGCGAACAUAACGGGACUGCGUGAAUUGUUCAUGAUAUUAGGCUGACCCCAAAAUACAUUAUAUAGUUUAAGCACUUUGUAAAAAUUAUUUGAGCACAUUGUUAUAAAGUGGGUAUUCU